rnacentral:lncRNA from 1 species
AAACAAAAUUUGCAAGUGUCAAAGCAAAUUUGAAAGUGUAGAAAAAAAUACAGCUGUUAAAAGUUUGAAACGACAUGUGUUAAAGUUUAAGGUAGUGUUUGGUUCGGGAACAAGGGGGGGAAUAAGCCCUUGUUCCCCCUUUGUUCCCAAACGCAAUGUUUGGUUUCCGGAAACAAUAGUUCCCAGGAAUCUGGAACUAACUGGUAUAAGGCUGGAACUGCUGUUCCACCCGUUUCCUGGAACAAGCUUGUUCCUUGAUGAGAACAAGAUUAAUUAAAAUCUAAAUUUAAUUUUAAUGGCAGUAAAUUAUUAAUUAAUCUAAUUAAUAUAUUUAAAUCAUUACUUAUUACUUUAAUAAUUAAAUAUUUUAAAUAAUUUAUUAUUUAUAAUUAAAUAUUAAUAAUUAGAUAAUUAUUAUUAUUAAUUUAUUAUUUAUAAUUAAUUAUAAAUAAUUAAUAAUAUUCAUUAUUUU